rnacentral:rRNA from 1 species
GAUAGGUGAAGACUCCUGGAAUGGGUCUUCGCCCAAAAGGCGUUUAGACCAUGCUUCUAAGCGCCGCCCAAGGAUGGGGCCGCGGCCGAUCAGGUUGUUGGUGAGGUAACGGCUCACCAAGCCUAUAACCGGUGCGGGCCGUGAGAGCGGGAGCCCGGAGAUGGGCACUGAGACAAGGGCCCAGGCCCUACGGGGCGCAGCAGUCGCGAAACCUCCGCAAUACACGAAAGUGUGACGGGGCUAUCCCGAGUGCCAUCCGCUGAGGGUGGCUUUUCCCCAGUGUAGAUAGCUGGGGGAAUAAGGAGAGGGCAAGUCUGGUGUCAGCCGCCGCGGUAAUACCAGCUCUCCGAGUGGUGGGGACGCUUAUUGGGCUUAAAGCAUCCGUAGCUGGCUGGGCAAGUCCCCUGUUAAAUCUAACGAUUCAAUCGUUGGAUUGCGGGGGAUACUGCUCGGCUAGGGGGCGGGAGAGGCCGACGGUAUUCCCGGGGUAGGGGUGAAAUCCUAUAAUCCCGGGAGGACCACCAGUGGCGAAGGCUGUCGGCUAGAACGCGCCCGACGGUGAGGGAUGGAAGCUGGGGGAGCGAACCGGAUUAGAUACCCGGGUAGUCCCAGCUGUAAACGAUGCAGGCUAGGUGUUCGGGCGGCUACGUGCCGCUCGAGUGCCGCAGGGAAACCGUUAAGCCUGCCGCCUGGGGAGUACGGCCGCAAGGCUGAAACUUAAAGGAAUUGGCGGGGGAGCACCACAAGGGGUGAAGCUUGCGGUUUAAUUGGAUUCAACGCCGG